rnacentral:rRNA from 1 species
AUUGAACGCUGGCGGCAGGCCUAACACAUGCAAGUCGAGCGGAGCGGCGGACGGGUGAGGAAUGCCUAGGAAUCUGCCUGGUAGUGGGGGAUGACGUCCGGAACCGGGCACUAAUACCGCAUACUAGCGGCUUAGGCUAGUUCGGAUUAGCUAGUGGGUGGGGAAAAGGCUUACCAGGGCGACGAUCCGUAACUGGUCUGAGAGGAUGAGCAGUCACACUGGAACUGAGACACGGUCCAGACUCCUACGGGAGGCAGCAGUGGGGAAUAUUGGACAAGGGGCGAAAGCCUGAUCCAGCCAUGCCGCGUGUGUGAAGAAGGUCUUCGGAUUGUAAAGUACUUUAAGUUGGGAGGCGUUACCAACAGAAUAAGCACCGGCUAACUUCGUGCCAGCAGCCGCGGUAAUAC